CCUGCACGUAGCACAUGUCUCGAGCAAUAUAUACGUAUACACGAUGCAUUCUCGUUAGGCAGCAAAUGUGUGGGGAACGUAGCGAGGGGAAAUACAGGUAUUAUUCGAAACACGUUGAGCAGCUCGCCACAAUCGACUGCUAACGAGGAUACGUAUGCCGAAAGUUCAAACAGAAGAGCGCGAGUAGUUCGGAAUAUCUGUCAACAAGCGAUGACAAAUCAUUCGUAACGAAAUUUCUCGUUAUCUGUGAGUCUAACUGCCAGCAAAUUUAACAUAGAAAUACUACAGAUUCCAAUCGAAAACUCUAAGAAUUAUCGCAAAUGCACCGUAUUGUGCGAGCAAUAAAACUGUAAAUAACGAUCUGAAAAUACCACGCGGUAAAUCAACCAUCCAAAAAUAAAGCAAAAGAUACACACGAAGAGUCCGAAAUCACGCAAAUACACGGGCUCGUGAACUUCUCGAUUAAACCAAUGAAAUAAAAAGACUGAAACGUACGAAGCCUCUCGACCUAAUUAAUUAAACAAACCAAUGUGAAUAAAUAAAUAUAAAACCAUAGAACGUAAAAGCAGCAGUUAUCAUUAGAUAUGGAAUACCGGUGGGCAAUCCAUUCUAAAAUAUAAAAUAAAAUCAAUAAAUUUCAUAGCACAGGACAAUUAUUGAAAGUUCCUCACACAAACGGAUUGUAAUUUGUAAUUUUUUAAAUAAAAUGUGAAUCUCGAAGCGUCAGCAA